UACGUAGGGUGCAAGCGUUGUCCGGAAUUAUUGGGCGUAAAGAGCUCGUAGGCGGUCUGUCGCGUCUGCUGUGAAAACCUAGGGCUUAACUCUGGGCGUGCAGUCGAUACGGGCAGACUAGAGUUCGGUAGGGGAGACUGGAAUUCCUGGUGUAGCGGUGAAAUGCGCAGAUAUCAGGAGGAACACCGGUGGCGAAGGCGGGUCUCUGGGCCGAUACUGACGCUGAGGAGCGAAAGCGUGGGGAGCAAACAGG
rnacentral:rRNA from 1 species